CCUCCUUCUAUUUUGCACUAUAGGAAUCUUGUUGAGAAGAUUACUUGUUGAUAGACACUUGAAAGGUGUUACUCAUGUUAUUGUUGAUGAGAUUCAUGAACGAUAUUGGUUGGCUCUCAACGCGAGGAUUUCAGCGGGCCAGUAGCAAGAGAUUCUUUCUGUGAGAUGCGGUAGUACGAUGUAUUUACAGUUCCAAAGGGAAGAACUCAGGAUGAUUGCAGAGCACACACCAUCUCAUUCCAUAUUUUCUUGGUUUACUCUAAUGUGAUAUGAUGAUUGAUACAUUUGUUUUAUUUGGAUUUUUAUGAUGAUGUUUUUGGGAUACUUGUUUUAUUAAUUUAAAAAUGAAAUUGU